rnacentral:lncRNA from 1 species
GAAGAUCACAUUAAACAACCUGGAGAGCCACUCCACUCCUGACAUACCCAUGCAUUUCCAGAACUCUACCGGGAUCUCGUCAGGCCCGGUCGCUCGACCCCUACUCACCCUACGCAAAGCCCCCAUGACCUCCUCCGCCCUAGUGCGCCUGCAGUACCCAAGGUCUCUAUAUUGCUCUGAAUGCCCCAACUCCCCUAACUCUAUGUUACGAUCCCCUCAUCGUUAAGUAAGUCUCGAAAGUACGCCUGCCACCUCUGCUUGACUUGAGACUCCCCCAUCAGAACUCUACCAUCCUCGCCCUUGAUGCACN